rnacentral:rRNA from 1 species
UAAAGGCAUCUUUACUUUUUUAAAAGACCUUCUUUGAAGGUAUGCUUAAGGAGGGGCUUGCGACACAUUAGUUAGUUGGUAGGGUAAAGGCCUACCAAGACUAUGAUGUGUAGCUGGACUGAGAGGUUGAACAGCCACAUUGGGACUGAGACACGGCCCAAACUCCUACGGGAGGCAGCAGUAGGGAAUUUUCGGCAAUGGAGGAAACUCUGACCGAGCAACGCCGCGUGAACGAUGAAGUACCUCGGUAUGUAAAGUUCUUUUAUUAAGGAAGAAAAAAGAGUGGAAAAACUCCCUUGACGGUACUUAAUGAAUAAGCCCCGGCUAAUUAUGUGCCAGCAGCCGCAGUAAUACAUAAGGGGCGAGCGUUAUCCGGAAUUAUUGGGCGUAAAGGGUGCGUAGGCGGUUUAAUAAGUCUAUAGUUUAAUUUCAGUGCUUAACGCUGUUGUGCUAUAGAAACUGUUUUACUAGAGUGAGUUAGAGGCAAGCGGAAUUCCAUGUGUAGCGGUAAAAUGCGUAAAUAUAUGGAGGAACACCAGAGGCGUAAGCGGCUUGCUGGGACUUUACUGACGCUGAGGCACGAAAGCGUGGGGAGCAAACAGGAUUAGAUACCCAGGUAGUCCACGCCCGUAAACGAUGAGUACUAAGUGUCGGGUAAAACCGGUACUGAAGUUAACACAUUAAGUACUCCGCCUGAGUAGUACGUACGCAAGUAUGAAACUUAAAGGAAUUGACGGGACUCCGCACAAGCGGUGGAUCAUGUUGUUUAAUUCGAAGAUACACGAAAAACCUUACCAGGUCUUGACAUUUUCUUGCGAAGUUAUAGAAAUAUAAUGGAGGUUAUCAGGAAAACAGGUGGUGCAUGGUUGUCGUCAGCUCGUGUCGUGAGAUGUUAGGUUAAGUCCUAAAACGAGCGCAACCCUUGUCGUUAAUUGCCAGCAUGUAAUGAUGGGGACUUUAACGAGACUGCCAAUGAAAAAUUGGAGGAAGGUGGGGAUUACGUCAAAUCAUCAUGCCCCUUAUGAUCUGGGCUACAAACGUGAUACAAUGGUUGAUACAAAGAGUAGCUGAAACGCAAGUUCUUAGCCAAUCUCACAAAAUCAAUCUCAGUUCGGAUUGAAGUCUGCAACUCGACUUCAUGAAGUUGGAAUCGCUAGUAAUCGCGAAUCAGCAUGUCGCGGUGAAUACGUUCUCGGGGUUUGUACACACCGCCCGUCAAA